AAACCAGCACCUCAAGUGGUCAGGAGGAUUAUUGGGCCUAAAGCAUCCGUAGCCUGUUCUGUAAGUUUCCGGUUAAAUCCAUUAGCUCAACUAAUGGGCCGCCGAAAAUACUGCAAAACUAGGGAGUGGGAGAGGUAGACGGUACUCGGUAGGAAGGGGUAAAAUCCUUUGAUCUAUUGAUGACCACCUGUGGCGAAGGCGGUCUACCAGAACACGUUCGACGGUGAGGGAUGAAAGCUGGGGGAGCAAACCGGAUUAGAAACCCCAGUAGUCC
rnacentral:rRNA from 1 species